rnacentral:tRNA from 1 species
GCGGCCGUGGUGAAAUUGGUAGACACGCUAGAUUCAGGUUCUAGUGGCGGAAACGCUGUGGAGGUUCAAGUCCUCUCGACCGCA